UGAAGAUAAUUUUAGUGUACUCAGAAAUUAUUUAUAUGAAUGUACUGAGAAGAUGCUUUUGAUAAUAGUUCUGUUUUACAGUUUCGUCUCAAUUUAGGCAAAGCACCUGCCCAAACUUGAAACUUCAAAGUACUCCUCCCAAAGUGGUCCAUCCAGUAUUUAUUCGCCUCUGUUCCAUAAAAGGCAACUUUGAUGACUUCCACUAACAUAGAUGGAGGAUGUAUAGCCCGUUUCAAUGAGACACCCAGGGCCCUGAGUAUUGUGGUUGGAGUUCUGGCUUAAAUUCAGACACUGGAAAACACAAGUAAUAAGAAGACCAUUUUGAGAAGAGCAGAUAGUCGCCUUAAGAAAAUCCCUGUCAUAUGCACUCUGGGAUUUGGACUCAAAUCCUAAUUAUACAGUCUGUAAUGAUGAUGAGAACAGGAAAUUCGGACAGGAAAAUGGGUCGCUUCUUAGGCUUCCUGCCAGACUUUGAAAACCACCAUAACAAGUUGUUUCUGCCAAAGUGGGUAUGA
rnacentral:lncRNA from 1 species